rnacentral:rRNA from 1 species
GACGAACGCUGGCGGCGUGCUUAACACAUGCAAGUCGAACGGAAAGGCCCUGCUUUUGUUGGGUGCUCGAGUGGCGAACGGGUGAGUAACACGUGAGUAACCUGCCCUUGACUUUGGGAUAACUUCAGGAAACUGGGGCUAAUACCGGAUAGGAGCUCCUGCUGCAUGGUGGGGGUUGGAAAGUUUCGGUGGUUGGGGAUGGACUCGCGGCUUAUCAGCUUGUUGGUGGGGUAGUGGCUUACCAAGGCUUUGGCGGGUAGCCGGCCUGAGAGGGUGACCGGCCACAUUGGGACUGAGAUACGGCCCAGACUCCUACGGGAGGCAGCAGUGGGGAAUAUUGCACAAUGGGCGGAAGCCUGAUGCAGCAACGCCGCGUGCGGGAUGACGGCCUUCGGGUUGUAAACCGCUUUCGCCUGUGACGAAGCGUGAGUGACGGUAAUGGGUAAAGAAGCACCGGCUAACUACGUG